GAAUGUCGGCCCUGCCAUGAGAACUGCACCCAGGGGUGUAAAGGACCAGAGCUUCAAGACUGUUUAGGACAAACACUGGUGCUGAUCGGGUAUGAUGGGGUUGGAGAUUCUGGAAACUGGGGAUAUUUGGGAGUUGGGAGAGAGGUGGUUACCUGGAGAGAAGAGGGAGGCUGUCUUCAUUCUGGCCUUUUAUGUAUGCAGUCCACUAUCACUGGACACUUGGGACUCAAGAAUGCAGGCUUCUGGACUUCCCUUCCUAAAAUUAACUUUCAGUAGUCUAAGACUGGUCCAGAUUUAGGUUGGUCC
rnacentral:sRNA from 1 species